rnacentral:rRNA from 1 species
UACGUAGGGUGCGAGCGUUGUCCGGAAUUAGUUGGGCGUAAAGGGCUCAUAGGCGGUUUGUCGCGUCGGCUGUGAAAUCCCGAGGCUCAACCUCGGGUCUGCAGUCGAUACGGGCAAACUAGAGUAUUGCAGGGGAGACUGGAAUUCCUGGUGUAGCGGUGAAAUGCGCAGAUAUCAGGAGGAACACCGGUGGCGAAGGCGGGUCUCUGGGCAAUAACUGACGCUGAGGAGCGAAAGCGUGGGGAGCGAACAGG